rnacentral:tRNA from 1 species
GCAGUGGUGGUUCAGUGGUAGAAUUCUCACCUUCCAUGCAAGAGACCUGGGUUUAAUUCCUGGCCAGUGUA